rnacentral:rRNA from 1 species
GAUGAACGCUGGCGGCGUGCCUAAUACAUGCAAGUCGAGCGAACAGACGAGGAGCUUGCUCCUUUGACGUUAGCGGCGGACGGGUGAGUAACACGUGGAUAACCUACCUAUAAGACUGGGAUAACUUCGGGAAACCGGAGCUAAUACCGGAUAACAUGUUGAACCGCAUGGUUCAACAGUGAAAGACGGUUUUGCUGUCACUUAUAGAUGGAUCCGCGCCGCAUUAGCUAGUUGGUAAGGUAACGGCUUACCAAGGCAACGAUGCGUAGCCGACCUGAGAGGGUGAUCGGCCACACUGGAACUGAGACACGGUCCAGACUCCUACGGGAGGCAGCAGUAGGGAAUCUUCCGCAAUGGGCGAAAGCCUGACGGAGCAACGCCGCGUGAGUGAUGAAGGUCUUCGGAUCGUAAAACUCUGUUAUUAGGGAAGAACAAAUGUGUAAGUAACUAUGCACGUCUUGACGGUACCUAAUCAGAAAGCCACGGCUAACUACGUG